UGCGCUAAGUGUAGAAGCGUCGCACCUAAGUGCAAGCGGUGUAAGGAAAAAAUCAGAUGGCCGGCAAUUUCGAAGCAGAUGUAAACAAAUUAAAUAUUUAUAGGCAUAAGAAUAAAUAUAAGGUAGGAGCUUUUCUGUGAAUCUAGAAAAGAUUUUGCAGCAUUUAUAUUUUAAUGCCGUUGAAAAAGUAAUAACAGUCAACUGUCAAAUUUAUAAGCAAUUGCGCAUUCAGAAAGCGAGUGAGAAAAAGAAGUGCGAGAAGCGAACCGGCCUGUCAAUUGGAUAUAUCGAGUUGCGCCGGAGUCAUUGAUCAGCCGAAGCGUAUUCAGGAUGGAAAUAACAGACGUCCGACGAGUCGCAGGAUUUGGCAGACUUUCUUUCGGCCCUUCGAGACACACUGGCAGUUGCUUGGAAUCAAUCGAAAUUUGCUGCUUGACAUAUUGGUCUAGCAGCCCUUUCAUUAGGCGAACUAAUUGGAACUAGUUAUUACAGUUUGUUAACAAAUUGUAUUUCUGCCAGCAUUCUGACUGCAGUGUAUUGUGUACGCUAGAUUCCGUAUUGGUAGUUUAUUUUUAACGGAUUUGAAAAUUUUCAAUAUGAUACAUAAAAAAAUUUAUGAGCCUGAAUGGUAAAUCACUGUGUUUGUUACGUAUUACGCACGGCAUAACACAGCAAAAAAAUUGCUCUUGAUCACUUAGAUUCCAGCAAUAUAUCAAAGUUGGAUAGAAACUGGUAGAUUCAAGAAAUUUGUAAACAGAACAAAAUGUGGAACUGAAGAAAUUCAACAGUGGCUGAAGUGUGUCUAGUGAAUUGAAAGAAGAUCACAAGCAGACAUAUAUGGACAACAAUCAUCAUAUGGUGCAACGAUAUCGAUGAAUUAACUCCAAUAAGGGAAUUAUUGGAUUCCUUCAUCUGGAAUUGUAAAACAAAUUAUACGAAUACAUUAUUGAUGCAACAGUUUAUUCCAUAGUCAUUGUCAAUCUCGUACUUAUACACGCAAUAACAUUGAUAACUAUAAUAUAAAGAUUCCGGUGAUGAAUAAUGCGAAAACUUAUUACAUUAUUGUCACAAUAGAAAUCGUGAAUCAUUCACAACACACACCAGCACAUACGCGAUAAAGAAUACAAGUUAAAUGAACUUCCUGUUUAAGAAUACAAUGGGAAAACAAUUAAAGCUCUUGUCAAUUAUGAAGCGAAUGCUGACGCAUUUUCAUAAAACGACGUCUCAAAAUCAACUUUAAAGUUUGCUUUUUUAAUUAAAAUUUCCAAAAGCUUGUUUUCUAACUUUGAGUCAUCAUUGCUCUGUAUUGAUUUGACACAACGAAGUUUUAAUAUAACAACACGGACAAAAUACGGAGACGUAAUAUAAUUAAUGAAAUUUAGUACACAAGAAAAUAGCCAUUCAAAUUCAUUAUAUUAUUCGCGUAAACUCUUGGCGACUAUUUAUAGAAUAAAUAGAAUAAUUAUCUGUGAUAGUAUUUGUAUUUUAUCCAUGUCACUUGAAUAAAACAGGCUUUUGAACUCAA